rnacentral:rRNA from 1 species
GGCGGCGCGCCUAACACAUGCAAGUCGAGCGAGAAAGCUCCUUCGGGAGUGAGUAAAGCGGCGGACGAGUGAGUUACACGUGAGAAUCUGCCCUCUAGUGAAGAAUACCCUCGAGAAAUCGAGGCUAAUACUGCAUACGUCCCUUCGGGGAGAAAGGUGGCCUCUUUGCUACCGCUAAAGGAUGAGCUUGCGGGCUAUCAGCUUGUUGGUGAGGUAAAGGCUCACCAAGGCAAUGACGGCUAGCCGACCUGAGAGGGUGAUCGGCCACGCUGGAACUUAGACACGGUCCAGACUCCUACGGGAGGCAGCAGUGAGGAAUCUUGCGCAAUGGGCGAAAGCCUGACGCAGCGACGCCGCGUGGGGGAUGAAGGUCUUCGGAUUGUAAACUCCUGUUAGGUGGGAAGAAAGACCCGUCCUUAAUACGGACGGGGGAUGACGGUACCAUCAGAGAAAGCACCGGCUAAUCUCGUGCCAGCAGCCGCGGUAAUACGAGA